ACGCACGCUGGCGGCGUGCUUAACACCUGCAAGUCGAACGGAAAGGCCCUGCUUUUGUGGGGUGCUCGAGUGGCGAACGGGUGAGUAACACGUGAGUAACCUGCCCUUGACUUUGGGAUAACUUCAGGAAACUGGGGCUAAUACCGGAUAGGAGCUCCUGCUGCAUGGUGGGGGUUGGAAAGUUUCGGCGGUUGGGGAUGGACUCGCGGCUUAUCAGCUUGUUGGUGGGGUAGUGGCUUACCAAGGCUUUGACGGGUAGCCGGCCUGAGAGGGUGACCGGCCACAUUGGGACUGAGAUACGGCCCAGACUCCUACGGGAGGCAGCAGUGGGGAAUAUUGCACAAUGGGCGGAAGCCUGAUGCAGCAACGCCGCGUGCGGGAUGACGGCCUUCGGGCUGUAAACCGCUUUCGCCUGUGACGAAGCGUGAGUGACGGUAAUGGGUAAAGAAGCACCGGCUAACUACGUG
rnacentral:rRNA from 1 species